AUUGAAUGCUGGCGGCAUGCCUUACACAUGCAAGUCGAACGGCAGCACGGGUGCUUGCACCUGGUGGCGAGUGGCGAACGGGUGAGUAAUACAUCGGAACAUGUCCUGUAGUGGGGGAUAGCCCGGCGAAAGCCGGAUUAAUACCGCAUACGAUCCACGGAUGAAAGCGGGGGACCUUCGGGCCUCGCGCUAUAGGGUUGGCCGAUGGCUGAUUAGCUAGUUGGUGGGGUAAAGGCCUACCAAGGCGACGAUCAGUAGCUGGUCUGAGAGGACGACCAGCCACACUGGGACUGAGACACGGCCCAGACUCCUACGGGAGGCAGCAGUGGGGAAUUUUGGACAAUGGGCGAAAGCCUGAUCCAGCAAUGCCGCGUGUGUGAAGAAGGCCUUCGGGUUGUAAAGCACUUUUGUCCGGAAAGAAAUCCUUGACUCUAAUACAGUCGGGGGAUGACGGUACCGGAAGAAUAAGCACCGGCUAACUACGUG
rnacentral:rRNA from 1 species